AGAGACAAGUUGGUUGGAUGGUUGGAUGUUUCCUUUUUUCCAUUCUUUGUUUCUUCUGCUUUCCCCCGUUUUUUC
rnacentral:ribozyme from 1 species